CUGCCCCUCCACCCGAGGCUGCCUUAUCCUUUUGCUUUCUCUCUUAAAUCUGCUGCCCGUUACUGCUAUUCUACCCUUUGGUAGGUGUCAACAGAUGUUCACACUUUCCUUUCUUUCUGAUGGUGGUCAGGAAACCUAGCACUCCACCUAAGGCGAAGAAGCCGGGCGUUUGUCUGUUGUGAGUGAGUGACAAGGGCGGAGGAGGCGUGCCAGGCUGGCUGCAGUACCAUUCCCUGAGUCUGGCACUGCCUGAAGGGAGCCCUGCCGGUCACAUCAGACGUUCCUAAGGGGCCUGGAGUGAAAGGUGCUUGCAGGGAGCAAGUGAAAGUGGCGCCCCCACCCAGUCUGCCCAUUCCACCUCUCUUUAUACUGAUGAGAGAAGCCAAAGGGAGGCAACAAGGAAAAGAAGAGAAACUGGAAGCUGGGAUGAUUGACAGACUAGAAUGACAGGCUGCUGAAACUGAAUGAAACCCCAGAAGUUAUCAAUUCAUCCUUCACUUUUUGAGUUUUUAUUGAAGGGAGAGGAUGUAGUAGUUUCCCCUGUCUACUUUCUCUACCUUCUUUUCUCCUCUACCCUCCCUUUCCAAGCUCAACUUCCUUGACAGUAUUAAGGAAAUACCUUUUUUAGUUACCAAAAUAAGUUGCUCUGUGGAGAAUUUCUGAUGAUCUCAUGGUGAUUUUCCUGCACCCGGAAGACACUUUGCUUUGCUUUGGGACCAUGGAUAUUCCUUGGGGCAGCCACCAAGGAUGAAUAAGGUUUGAAUGGGGAGGCACUGGCCUCGGAGCUCCUUGCUGCUGACAUCAGUUGUGCCCUUGUAGGAGACGUCCUGGUCCUGUCUGCCUCAGAGGCUUCCAUCUGCGGAUUUCCUGAGGUCGUCCCCUUACUCCUCUGCUGCAGUCUCUCUCAACAUUUCAACUGUCUGCUCCAGAAAGUUACUCUGUCACUAAGUAAAAUAAAUACAAACAAAAUAAG
rnacentral:lncRNA from 1 species